UCUGUCACAAUCGUUUACCUUUUUAUCAGUCUGCCUAGAAAGGACAAAGUUGGAGAAGCUAAUGUAUCUGUUUUUCAUUCUUCUGUCAUCCAUGUAAUAGACAUUCUAUACAUAAAAUCAAGUGCCUCUAGGAGGGAAAAAAAGAAGCUUUGUAUCCUGUAAACACAUCUGCAGUUCAGGGGAGAUCACUCUUCUUCUCCAGCAGCCAUCUUCUAACUAUUGCAUUUAUGAAGAGCAACCACAUCUUCUCUCAGCUUUUGGUUUUCUUGGAUGAAAAUAACAAAUUGUCAUCUGCAUUUCCUCAGGGCAAGCAAGACUGAUUGUUCAGUGAAAUGAUGAUGUUACUCUGUGUUGCUGAAUACUUGGCAAAGGGAGUUAAGAGUGCCCAGACCAAGGACUGAGCAAAUAUUUUGAAUCAGUAUUUUGGAGAUCAGCCACAAGACCAGAAGUUGGGGAAAACACUGGUAACUGAAUCUAAUUUAGAGAGAAUAACCUUCAGUCAAA